CGUCCGACUUCGCCUCAGGCCGUGAUCUCCCGGCUUGUGAGUUCGAGCCCCGCGUCGGGCUCUGUGCUGACAGCUCAGAGCCUGGAGCCUGCUUCGGAUUCUGUGUCUCCCUCUCUCUCUUCCCCUCCCCUGCUCGCUCUCUCUCUCUUUCAGAAAAUACACAAACAUUAAAAAAUCAAAAAAAGAAAGAAAGAAAACCGUACUUACUGAGCACCUGGCCAACGCACCAGGCUCUGACUCCAGUCUCUGACGCCUCGUGACCUAAAAAGUAAUUGAAAAGGCAAAAUUCAGUUGAUAGAUUGCCUUCUGUUUCCAUGAUACUGGACAUCCCGCCUGAUUCUUAUUUCCUGAACCGAAUAAGCACUCUUAACUCCUGGAACGAUGGUACCAGCAGCCCACGAAGGGAUGUGAGGAUGAGACCAUCCUACGGUUCUAGGUCCGAGACCCAUCUCCUAGUCUGGGAGGUUUGGGGUACAGGUUUGGGGACAGGAAGUUGGUCGUUACGUGGCUGUGGUUCGGGACAGCUGCACAGCUCUGUGGUCUGGGGCUUCUCUUGUUAGACCGUGGCCCCCAGGCAGAGCCCGUGUUGGUCACGGCGGGGUGGGGGAGGGUCCAGUAGCAGUGACCUUCAGCCUCAAUGGCUCACGUCCACUAAGUGUCAUUGCUCUCUCCCGCUGUGCGUCCACUGCAGUGGAGGCUCCACGUUGCACCAGGCUGACGGCUCCAGUCUACCCACCCCUCCACCAUCACUGCAGCAGAGAGAAGGCGAUUCUGGACGGUCUUGUGCCAGCUCGUAAGGGCUCCCACCCCGAGAUGACCCACAUCCCUCCUCCUGACAGCUCAGUGGCUCCAACAACCAGAAGGCGGUGGGGGUGGGGGGGGCAGGAAACGCACCCCUGCUGGUACCCAUAUGGUGAGAAGGGACGCAUUGGAUGAGUGGCAACAAUGCCCACCACACCCCUUCUCUGAGCCCCACGCCUCCUCCCCCCAGCCCUGCCCGCUCUCCAUCACCACCCCCACCUGGAGCAGGAUCCUUGGUGGGUGCGUGGGAGAGAGACAGACAGGGACGGAGACAGAGAUACACGGAGCCAGAGACAAUGCGAUCCUCAGCUCGUCCCUCGAGAAACAAAUGGGUCUUUGACACUCAUAACCCAUUACCAAGGACGCCAUCCAGGCAGCCUCUGCUCCCCGUGACUGGCAGGUGGCGGCCCAGACAGGAAAGGGAACAAGUUGGCACCUGCCUUUUGCACCGCACGGCGUCGGCCUUGGGGCCUGCGUGA
rnacentral:lncRNA from 1 species